rnacentral:misc_RNA from 1 species
GAAAUGCGAUAAGUAAUGUGAAUUGCAGAAUUCAGUGAAUCAUCGAAUCUUUGAACGCACCUUGCGCUCCUUGGUAUUCCUUGGAGCAUGCCUGUUUGAGUAUCAUGAAAUCUUCAAAGUAAAUCUUUUGUUAACUCAAUUGGUUUCUACUUUGGUAUUGGACGUCUUUGCAGCUUCACACCUGCUCCUCUUUGUUCAUUAGCUGGAUCUCAGUGUUAUGCUUGGUUCCACUCGGCGUGAUAAGUUAUCUAUCGCUGAGGACACUGUAAAAGGUGGCCAAGGUAAAUGCAGAUGAACCGCUUCUAAUAGUCCAUUGACUUGGACAAUACUUUUAUGAUCUGAUCUCAAAUCAGGUAGGACUACCCGCUGAACUUAAGC